rnacentral:lncRNA from 1 species
GAAAAGAUCUGUGUGUGUUAUCCUAUAGUAUAUCGUCAUCGCAUGUGUAUUUGCUCUUGAUUGUUUACUGUUAAAUAUUUGCUUCUACUUGUGUGUUUUUUGACCUUAGCCCAAGUGAGUACAUGGAGCAGGUAUGGUAUGUGUUUCAAGUUGGAAACACGAGGUAAGGUCUGUGAUCCAAUUUUAUUGGCUACCUUGAUUAUGCAAGUGUUAACUGUGUGUUUUGAUUGCUUGCAGAUUUAUUGGGCAUCAAGGUGGAGAUUUGUUGGGUUUUUUGAUACCCAAUAAAUCCCGGGCUAUGAUGUUAACGUGAGUUAAUAUUAUUUCAUAGGCAUAGGCCGAUGAAUGAAAUAAGUCCAACAACCAAGUCCAUGAGCUACACCCGGCCCAAUUGUAUUCCUUAUAGAUGGCUUGAAUCUUGGCCCGUUUACCCCUUUAAUGGCCCAACUUAAAGCCUAACCCUAGAGUAUAUAUAUGAAUAUAACCCUAGCCUCUUUGUGAUGAUGAGUGUGUGAUUUUGAGAGAAGAAACUAGUGAAUCCCGGCUGCCCCCUUUUUGUGUGAGAAAAAGGUAUCCAGAAGUGUCCA